UGCAAAGCCAGGGGAGCCCUUUUCUCAGGGAGAGUGAGGUCCGGAGGAGAGGGGUGUGGUCAGGGCUUGCCCAGGUGCCCCCAGUGAGUGUGAGGCAGAAGUCAAGCAGGAAUCCCCAGUGAGCUUUCUCGGCCCUGGAUGCAGUCAGGACCUGGCAGAAAGGGCUGUUGCACUGCAUGGGGUGCCUUAGGGAAGAAAGACGACCGACUCUGCUCAGAUCAGUCAACCCAGAAUUGAGACGUGGACGUGGGUGCAACUUCCUGGAGUAAUAUGGAUGUGCACUUGGCAUUGCGUCGUGAAGUUGAUCCGAUUAUUUUCCACACUUUAAAAUGGGCACAUUGAGGAGUGGGGAGAAUCCUCUACCCAAGAGCCCCAGAAAGGAAGAGUGGCACCGACUCCAGCUGACUCUGUCUGCUUCCUGCCUGGCAUUCAGCCCUGCUCAUCUCACCAGAUCCAGCCAAAUGCAGGUAUUCUCCUCUCCUCCCUGGAGGUACAGCAGCCAUUAUAUGACCAUGAGAACAGACGCCACACAUUCAGGCAAAAGAGAGGAGGAAUCCGGAAUAUGGCGACAUCUUGGAACUUUGCUCCAGCUCUUUUUGUAAUAUGCAACAAACAAAUUGCUAUCUGGUGAAGCCAGUGUAUCAAGCUCCUGCCACGCACCGCAAAACACAUUCCUAAA